rnacentral:rRNA from 1 species
AGCGAACGCUGGCGGCAGGCCUAACACAUGCAAGUCGAACGAACUCUUCGGAGUUAGUGGCGGACGGGUGAGUAACACGUGGGAACGUGCCCUUUGGUUCGGAAUAACUCAGGGAAACUUGUGCUAAUACCGAAUGUGCCCUUCGGGGGAAAGAUUUAUCGCCAUUAGAGCGGCCCGCGUCUGAUUAGCUAGUUGGUGAGGUAACGGCUCACCAAGGCGACGAUCAGUAGCUGGUCUGAGAGGAUGACCAGCCACACUGGGACUGAGACACGGCCCAGACUCCUACGGGAAGCAGCAGUGGGGAAUCUUGCGCAAUGGGCGAAAGCCUGACGCAGCCAUGCCGCGUGAAUGAUGAAGGUCUUAGGAUUGUAAAAUUCUUUCACCGGGGACGACAAUGACGGUACCCGGAGAAGAAGCCCCGGCUAACUUCGUG